rnacentral:lncRNA from 1 species
CAAUCAUAAUGAUUCUAUUAUUUAAUAUCAUCAUCACCGUUUAUCUCUAUUUGUUUAUCUAAUUAUUUAUUCAGCAGGUUCACUUUCAUCCUACCCUUGCUGGUAGUAAAGCGCUUAAUGCUACAGUGACCAAUGGAAAAUCAUUGUGUCUGACACCAGGAGACAAAAGAAGCAGGGAGGAAUCUGUGAAAAAUGCCUGCAAGAAUCAAAGCACAGUAUAGAUGGAGAUGAUUCACAUCUCUGCAGUGAUUUUUCAGUAAAAGUCUAUGAAAAUCUGCUGAUGACUUUCAGUGGAGAAGAAUCAAACCUAGUGGCCUUCAUCUUACAAAGCUCACGCAAUUUGCUCACAGACUCAAGUGUUGUCUGUUAAAAAAAAAAAAGCAUAAUGCAUGUAGAAGUGUUGUAUCCAAAAGCAGGUGCCUCGAGCAAGACUCUAAACCACAGCAAGUGACCAGCAUGUAGACGACAGUAACAGACCAUUGCCACGUGACUGGGGCUGGUAGGAGAUGAUCUUCAUCCUUAACAAUGGGCUUCACAGUUAAUUAUUAAUGAUGGAAAAAUGCUUGUUACUCUUCUAAUUUGGUUAUUUUAGGCUGCUCUUGCCUUUCUUUUGGCACUCUGUCUCCUGACAUUAAAAUGAAAACCAAAGUGCCACUGGCUAGCCAUAUCAGCUCUGUCUAAAAUAUGAGAUUUAAGUCUUGAUAUUCAUGUUUUCAUUUUAUGAAAUACAGUACACUAAAAAGAUCAUACUUUGACCGUUGUAAUUAAGCACUCUCAGUAUGAAUUCCUAAAUGAAAAGGUUAGCAAAGAACUCCAGUAUCUUGUAUUUUGCUUUGUUUACUUGUUAUAUAGAUAAUGAAAAUGAGCCUUUUUUUUUUUUUUUUUUUUUUUUGUAAGUGAGAAGACUGCAUCUUUUCCAUUUAGGCAAAUGUUCAUUUGUGCUGUCCAAAGUGAACUGUGCAUAGCUUCAGCCCUUUUGAGGACAUUAUUUGAAUGCGUGUGAAUUCAUACUGCAUCUUCUGCUCCAUUAUGUUAGGAGAAAUGAUAAAAACUGAUAAAUAUGCAGUUAUUAAACCUUUGAUAGAAUUAAAACAUUUCUGUUAGAAGUACAAAGGAAAGAUGUGUGUUUUUCAUGCCAGUCAAUGUAAUAAGGAUGUCUUUUUUUCCUCCUCGAAAUGUCUGUGCCUUUGACAUGCCAUAAGGGAUGAACUGCUGUUUUAACGACCUAGGGGGUUGCUUCUAGAAGUGGUUGCCCUUGGUGAAGAAUAUAUUUGCAAAGGAUCUGAAUGACCUUGUGCUUUUGAGCCAGACGGGUGCUAUUAGCGUGUGAUUUUGCUGAAAAACUCCUGAAGUGGCAGUUGUAUUGUCUG